GCCCGGUGUUGAUUCCAAGGCGAAUGUGACCUGAUUGGCUCUGUGUAUCGGCAGCUCUCACGUGACCCUCUCUAACAGGCCUGAAAUCUUGGCAGGUGGUGCACAGUGUGGCUCGUUUGCUAUAAGGGCAGGCCAAAAGUGAACAGCACCCCCUGGAGGUCUACUGUGUAAGUAUCAGCAGUCUGACCACCGGGGGGAGGGGGGGCAUGGGGGGGGAGUUGCAAUGACACUGCCCAAACUCUGCACACCAGUCUGGAGUGAGCUCACUAUUCUGGAAGUCUGAGGGCA